rnacentral:rRNA from 1 species
UACGUAGGUGGCAAGCGUUGUCCGGAAUUAUUGGGCGUAAAGCGCGCGCAGGCGGCCUUUUAAGUCUGAUGUGAAAGCCCACGGCUCAACCGUGGAAGGUCAUUGGAAACUGAAAGGCUUGAGUACAGAAGAGGAAAGCGGAAUUCCACGUGUAGCGGUGAAAUGCGUAGAGAUGUGGAGGAACACCAGUGGCGAAGGCGGCUUUCUGGUCUGUAACUGACGCUGAGGCGCGAAAGCUAGGGGAGCAAACAGG